GACGAACGCUGGCGGCGUGCUUAACACAUGCAAGUCGAACGGAAAGGCCCUGCUUUUGUGUGGUGCUCGAGUGGCGAACGGGUGAGUAACACGUGAGUAACCUGCCCUUUGCGUUGGGAUAACUGCAAGAAACUGGGGCUAAUACCGGAUAGGAGCUCCUGCUGCAUGGUGGGGGUUGGAAAGUUUCGUCGGAUGGGGAUGGACUCGCGGCUUAUGAGCUUGUUGGUGGGGUAGUGGCUUACCAAGGCUUUGAUGGGUAGCCGGCCUGGGAGGGUGACCCGGCACAUUGGGCUUGAGAUGGCACCAAGACGCAUUAGGGAGGAAGGGGUGGGAGACAUAGCCAGAUGGGCCGCGGGCGGAUGGAGCAACGCCGGGUGGGGGAUGACGGUCAUCUGGGUGGAAACCGAGUUAGUUUGUAACGAAGUGUGAGUGCGUGUAAUAGGUAAAGAAGCACGGCUAACUUCGGU
rnacentral:rRNA from 1 species